rnacentral:rRNA from 1 species
GAUGAACGCUGGCGGCGUGCCUAAUACAUGCAAGUCGAGCGAAUGGAUUAAGAGCUUGCUCUUAUGCAGUUAGCGGCGGACGGGUGAGUAACACGUGGGUAACCUGCCCAUAAGACUGGGAUAACUCCGGGAAACCGGGGCUAAUACCGGAUAACAUUUUGAACCGCAUGGUUCGAAAUUGAAAGGCGGCUUCGGCUGUCACUUAUGGAUGGACCCGCGUCGCAUUAGCUAGUUGGUGAGGUAACGGCUCACCAAGGCAACGAUGCGUAGCCGACCUGAGAGGGUGAUCGGCCACACUGGGACUGAGACACGGCCCAGACUCCUACGGGAGGCAGCAGUAGGGAAUCUUCCGCAAUGGACGAAAGUCUGACGGAGCAGCGCCACGUGAGUGAUGAAGGCUUUCGGGUCGUAAAACUCUGUUGUUAGGGAAGAACAAGUGCUAGUUGAAUAAGCUGGCACCUUGACGGUACCUAACCAGAAAGCCACGGCUAACUACGUGCCAGCCGCCGCGGUAA